AUGUCUGAGUGGAGUAAUGAUGGCACCACAGUCCAGCCUGCAUGGUUCCUCCAUCAUUACUCUACCACCGCCUAUAUGGAUGUAAUUGUCAGUGUGAAGCUGAGUAAGGAACAACGUGCACCAGACUCACAGAGAAAAAUGGACAAGCGAGCUGGCCUUUGUAUCACUAAAGGGAAGGUUUGGAAUAAUUCAUCAGUGUAA
rnacentral:lncRNA from 1 species